rnacentral:tRNA from 1 species
GGCCAGGUAGCUCAGAUGGUAGAGCAGCGGACUGAAAAUCCGCGUGUCGACGGUUCGAUUCCGCCCCUGGCCA